AGAGUUUGAUCCUGGCUCAGGACGAACGCUGGCGGCGUGCUUAAUACAUGCAAGUCGAGCGAGGUUACUGCGACCAGAUCCCUUCGGGGUGAAGUUGCUUUAGCCUAGCGGCGGACGGGUGAGUAACGCGUGGGUAACCUACCCUAAAGUUCGGGAUAACAGCGGGAAACCGCUGCUAAUACCGGAUGCCUUUACCGUGUGGCAUCACAAGGUAAAGAAAGGUAACGCUUUAGGAUGGGCCCGCGUCCCAUUAGCUAGUUGGUGAGGUAACAGCUCACCAAGGCGACGAUGGGUAGCCGGCCUGAGAGGGUGGACGGCCACNCUGGGACUGAGACACGGCCCAGACUCCUACGGGAGGCAGCAGUGGGGAANUUUGGACAAUGGGCGCAAGCC
rnacentral:rRNA from 1 species